AUAUAUAUAUAUAUAUACACACACUAUAUAUAUACUGUAUAUACUGUGUGUGUGUGUGUAUAUAUAUAUAUAUAU